AACUUAGCGCAGUGGCGAUAUCGUAACCAAUGAGGUUCUGCCGAGGUGCAAUUAUUGCUGGUUGAAAAUGUUUUAACAAUUUCAUCAAUCUUAUACCUGAUUCACGUGUUAAGCCUGAAACGUGUGUACAGCCAUACAAGAUAGUCACAGUAUAGAACGAUAAGUGUAAGUGUUUCAGUCAUCAAUCUUUUUGGC